CAGGAUGAACGCUGGCGGCGUGCCUAAUACAUGCAAGUCGAGCGAACAGACGAGGAGCUUGCUCCUCUGACGUUAGCGGCGGACGGGUGAGUAACACGUGGAUAACCUACCUAUAAGACUGGGAUAACUUCGGGAAACCGGAGCUAAUACCGGAUAACAUGUUGAACCGCAUGGUUCAACAGUGAAAGACGGUCUUGCUGUCACUUAUAGAUGGAUCCGCGCCGCAUUAGCUAGUUGGUAAGGUAACGGCUUACCAAGGCAACGAUGCGUAGCCGACCUGAGAGGGUGAUCGGCCACACUGGAACUGAGACACGGUCCAGACUCCUACGGGAGGCAGCAGUAGGGAAUCUUCCGCAAUGGGCGAAAGCCUGACGGAGCAACGCCGCGUGAGUGAAGAAGGUCUUCGGAUCGUAAAACUCUGUUAUUAGGGAAGAACAAAUGUGUAAGUAACUAUGCACGUCUUGACGGUACCUAAUCAGAAAGCCACGGCUAACUACGUGCCAGCAGCCGCGGUAAUACGUAGGUGGCAAGCGUUAUCCGGAAUUAUUGGGCGUAAAGCGCGCGUAGGCGGUUUUUUAAGUCUGAUGUGAAAGCCCACGGCUCAACCGUGGAGGGUCAUUGGAAACUGGAAAACUUGAGUGCAGAAGAGGAAAGUGGAAUUCCAUGUGUAGCGGUGAAAUGCGCAGAGAUAUGGAGGAACACCAGUGGCGAAGGCGACUUUCUGGUCUGUAACUGACGCUGAUGUGCGAAAGCGUGGGGAUCAAACAGGAUUAGAUACCCUGGUAGUCCACGCCGUAAACGAUGAGUGCUAAGUGUUAGGGGGUUUCCGCCCCUUAGUGCUGCAGCUAACGCAUAAGCACUCCGCC
rnacentral:rRNA from 1 species